AGUGAACGCUGGCGGUAGGCCUAACACAUGCAAGUCGAACGGCAGCACAGUAAGAGCUUGCUCUUACGGGUGGCGAGUGGCGGACGGGUGAGGAAUACAUCGGAAUCUACUUUUUCGUGGGGGAUAACGUAGGGAAACUUACGCUAAUACCUCAUACGACCUACGGGUGAAAGCAGGGGAUCUUCGUACCUUGCGCUAUUGAAUGAGCCGAUGUCGGAUUAGCUAGUUGGCGGGGUAAAGGCCCACCAAGGCGACGAUCCGUAGCUGGUCUGCGAGGAUGAUCAGCAAAAUUGGAACGGAGAAACGGUCAAAACUCCUACGGGAGGAGGAAGUGGGGAAUAUUGGACAAUGGGCGCAAGCCUGAUCCAGACAUACCGCGUGGGUGAAGAAGGCCUUCGGGUUGUAAAGCCCUUUUGUUGGGAAAGAAAAGCAGCAGGUUAAUAACCCGCUGUUCUGACGGUACCCAAAGAAUAAGCACCGGCUAACUUCGUG
rnacentral:rRNA from 1 species